rnacentral:lncRNA from 1 species
AGCACUCAAGGCCAAAAGUCACAAAAAUAGCACUCAAUGGGUGGGGUUUAGGAUUUAGAGUUUAGGGUUUAGAGUUUAGAGUUUAGGUUUUAGGGUUUAGAUUUGAGAAGUGAGGUUUUGGGGAUAAGAUUUCAAAUUUUGAAAAAUAAAAAAAUUUAAAAUUUUUCAAAAGAUAAAAUGCUAUUUUGGUCAUUUUAGUUUUUGAGUGCUAUUUUUGUGAUAUAAACUUAGAAAAGUGCUAUUUUGGAGAUUUGCCCAA